UGGCUCAGUGGUAGAGCGCUUGCCUUGCAUGCAUGAGGCCCUAGGUUCAAUUCCUCAG
rfam:Dipodomys ordii contig_2510, whole genome shotgun sequence.